rnacentral:SRP_RNA from 1 species
GCUGGGCAUGGUGGCGGGUGCCUGUAAUCCCAGCUACUCGGGAGGCUGAGGUAGGGAGAAUUGCUUGAACCCGGGAGGUGGGGGUUGCAGUGAGCCAAGAUUGCUCCACUGCACUCCAGCCUGGGUGACGUAGCGAGACUCUGUCUCAAAAAAGAAAGCCAAGAUAGGCUGAAAACUAGCCUUUUUUUUUUUUUUUUUUUUUUGAGAAGGAGUCUCACUCUGUCGCCCAGGCUGGGGUGCAGUGGUGCGAUCUCGGCUCACUGCAAGCUCCACCUCCCGGGUUCACGCCAUUCUCCUGCCUCUG